GGCGCACGACAGCCCGCGCGCACCCGGCCGGCGCGUCCACACAAAGCGGGGCGCGCGGUACAGGGCCGCGCCGGGAGCCGCCCGCCGGCCCGUGGGGCGCAGGGCGCGAGUGUGCGCGGGGGACGGGCCGCGCGCGGGACACAAAAGGGAAUGGACGCGCGGGGGCGGCGGGCGGGGAGCCGCGGCCCCACCGAAGGGACCCCCGGCCGCCGAGCGGCCUCUACGUCAGCGCCCCGGGUGGCGCCGCCUCCGCCCGCCAGCCUGGGCCGCCGCUGCCGCCGCGGGAAGGCGGGCCGGGGACCGCGGGGAAGGCGGGCCGGGGUACCCCGCCGGGGAGAAAGUGGGCCGGGGGGACCCUGCCAGGGGAGAAAAAGGACCGGGGAGCCUGCCAGGAGAAGGCAAAAUCUGCAUGUUGCUGGGAGAUGCUGGCCACCACAAGCACAGAAUUCCAGACUUGAGGCAGGAAACCUGGGGCAGCUCACCUCACAGAAGCACCUUUAACAGACACUCAGCCGAGGCCUGCAGCUGCUAAGGGCCACUUGCUCCAAUUAUCUGGUAAGGCAGAGUUCUAAGAGUAGGCCCUUCAUGGGGUACCUGGACCAAGCUGAUCGGAUCCAGACCUGUGAGCCAUGAGAACUUUAGAACUCUCCGGGUUUUUCUG
rnacentral:lncRNA from 1 species